GCACUGCUGAGGAGUCCCAUAUAAUAGGACGGAACGACCGUCCAGUGC
rnacentral:hammerhead_ribozyme from 1 species